CCUACGGGUGGCUGCAGUAAGGAAUAUUGGGCAAUGGAGGCAACUCUGACCCAGCCAUGCCGCGUGAAGGAUGACGGCCCUAUGGGUUGUAAACUUCUUUUAUACGGGAAUAAACCCGGGUACGUGUACCCGGCUGAAUGUACCGUAAGAAUAAGGAUCGGCUAACUCCGUGCCAGCAGCCGCGGUAAUACGGAGGAUCCAAGCGUUAUCCGGAUUCAUUGGGUUUAAAGGGUGCGUAGGCGGAUUUGUAAGUCAGCGGUGAAAUCCUACAGCUU
rnacentral:rRNA from 1 species